GUCCAGAGUUUCUGUCAACACCAUAAGAUUUUUCAAAAAUUAGAAAAAAAUCAGGCAUUAUUGUGGGCAGCUCUCAAUCUAAGGACCCCUUUACACUUCCUGCUUGAUACACAUGCCAUGAGGCCACUGCUCUGUCCUUCAUUGUGAGCAGUAAUAGACAGGAAGCUGGAGGAGCCCAGGGACAUCCCCCACGAGAGUGCUGACCUCCCAUCAACACACACACACACACACACACACACACACACACACACACACACACACACACUCAGCCAAGCUGAGCCAGGAAGAAAAGCAUGGCUCAGCGAAUGAAAGAGAGUUGGACAGAGAGAGAGAGAGAGAGAGAGAGAGAGAUAAAGGGAAACAAGCCCAGCUGUAAGAACACAAUGCCAACAAGAGCUUGGCAGGAGCUCAAGGCUGCUCCGAACGAGUGCCUCCAUUUUUUCCCUCUUUCCUUUUUCCCGAUUUCAAAGAGAGCUGCGCUGUAAAGCUGCUGCCUGUUUCUCUGUGUGUGCAUUUUUUUUUGGUGUGUGUGUGUGUGUGUGUGUGUGUGUGUGUGUGUGUGUGUGUGUGUGUGUGUGUUGAUGGAGGGGGGAGCUGAGGAUUAGACAUCAAUGCAUUUCUUCUCAAGCUUAAUCCUAAUGAUUACACCAAAAUAAAUACAAUUUAUGCCGA